CUUGUACUGGAACGCGAAAGCAUUAAGAUAAAGAAUUUUGUUCUGGAUACUGUCAGGAUCCAAGAAAGCUUGCAGCCAGUGGGCUAAGGAGGAUGUAGCGCUGUCAGAGAGCUGUUGGCGGACAUCAUCGUUUAUCACUUUUGGCUUCACUCAACUUGGAAAGCCCGUUGUAAUAAUCCAAUAAGACGACAGAAUCCAUGUUGAGGAAGUUGGCUACGAGACGGAUGAGCAUUUCCGCAAUGGGGUUGGAAGAUUUGCUUCUACGGCUAGCCGGAGCCUCCAAACCUUGUCCCAUUAGAGCCGAGCCCAUUUGAAGAAGCUGGUUCAUAUCCAUACCGGAAUUACCCAAUAAGGAGGCAACGGAUUGUAGAGGAUUGCCUUGACCUGCGUUACCACCACCAAAAAGAGAUGCCAACUGCAAAAGCGAGCUCAAAUCAGGACCAUUGUUUCCACUCUUUUUCUUUCCGGAGUUGUCCAUAUUCUUGAUGUAGGCAGACGCCAUGUUUGCAACAAUGUUCAGAGUAGGGUUGCUAUCUUCUUGGCCCAGCAAUUUCUUGCCCAUACCAACCAAGACAUCAAGAGGAUCUUCUUGGUUCACUUUCUUAUAAGGUUUCUUGUUGCUUUCCUUUCUUUUUUCUUGCGAAGAUGAUGCCGCAGGCUUCGAGGCAGUUUUAUAAGCUGUUGGGACCUGUUUCGGUGGCUGAAGCUUCAUUGCUGGUUGAUCAAGUUCCUCCUCGGCCACUUGAAAUAGAUAAUCCACAUCAUUCUUCGCUAUUUGUUCCUGGUUAACAUAUGGUGUUCCGUUCGACUCUGGAUUACCCGACGAACGAUGGACGGACGAUUCACUAUUUCUUCCCAAAGGUUCUUCUGGUAAGUGUACAUGAGGUGUUGAGGGUCCUUUUCCAUGGUUUUCGUUGCAUUUCAAGUUAUCCUGGAAUUGCUUUGCUUUCUCGUCUGAUCCAUCAGCCGGAAGGGCGUUGUCGUCAAAAAUCAGGUUUUCUAGAUCUUCUUUCCACGUAUCAAGCAGACCCUUUUCUUUUAUUGCCUUAAGGAUAGAUCUUCGUUUUUCUAACUCUGUAUGGUUUUCAUUUAUGUCGCUAACUACUUGGCUAGCAACUUUCUGCAGCUCGGCGGGGGGAAUGUUUUUGAGAAGCGCUUGUAAUUUUACCAUUUCCGAACCAGAAAAGAGAGAACCGAUGGCAUCAGCUGCUUUCCCUUGUGAGUCCCAACCAUGGAUUUCCGCUUCAUGAGCUAGAACGAACGGGGCUGUCACGCACAUUACAGCCAGGAAGUACAAGAAACUCACAGGUGCUAGCCGGAUUUCUGUGCGACACAUGUUGGUGUCCCAAAAUUGUCCUGAAAAGCAAGAUUUUCAGAAUUACAACAUACACUUUUUUUAAGCAAUUCUUAGGGUUUUGUAAGAAAUUUUGAAACCAAGAAGUAUUUUUUUUUAAUUCAAUAGCAACAUAAGGAAUUACUAAACUGCCAAUUAUAUCUUAUGUUACUUAACACACAACAUGUGUAAUGAGCGAACUGGGGAGCACCUUUGGAUCAUUAUUCGAAAAAACAAAUUCUGAGACACGAACAGAAAUAAAAAGUGCCAAUGAAAUGAAUAUGGGUUCAUGAAAAAUGGCAUACCAACUUUUACAAGACAAUGAACUUCUAAGGAGAUUUUCUGGAAAGAUAUGGGGAUGUUUCUUCAAACUACACUCCUAACAAUCUUGCUCAAAUUGGAAAACCUUGUAACAUGUGAAUGGCCUUAAAAAGUUCCAAACUACACUUUUAGCUGUAACUGCAAAACAAUACUUGUAUGCCACGAAUGAUUAGACAAGCUGAGGUCGUGACGUGCAGUUGUAUUCUGACCAAUCUCACUGCUGCUUACCGUGAUUUUUGCUGAUGCAAUUCGUCCACCACUAGUCAAUACCGGCUUCACUCGACGACUAGGAAAUAACAACUACGAACUGUCAAGGAAAAUAACAGACAACUUUCAGUGUCAAGGUCAGCUUUUUAAGUUUUCCCCUCAGUCCUAGCCGCAGGGUCUGAAAGGAAGUUAACGUGCCAUUGAACUCGGCCAAGCUGCGCUGGGCAUUUUUUUUUCUUUCUUACCUUAUUGUAUUUCUUCAUAUUCUAUUGUUUUAGUAUUCUUUCCUCUUUCCAUGGACCCGGAGCACGAUGUGGAACAUAUAAUUUUCUUUCUGUCUUAAAAAAAAAACAAUCUUUAAGUACGUACAUCUAAGAUUAGUUUACAGUUACAGGUAGAUUAACAAUUUCAUUGUGCGAAAAAAAAACAUCGUAUUUUGUAUCUACGUUAUUAUGUGUCAGUAUAUUUACUACAAUGUUUAUUUUUUAAUUACAUAACAAUUUCUUGUU